UGGCCUCUCCAUUGCAAGAAAUCAUAGUUGUAAGUGUACAAUAUUAUCAUGGCUUCACAAGUUCAAACUUCAUAUGUAUUAAACGGCUUCAUAUGAUAUUAAACGGCUUCACACACUGUCGACAGUUCAGCAGCGUUAUCGUGGCUUCACAUGAACAACAGGGAUUUCGUGGCUUUACACGUGCUAAACCGACAACAAGGUACUAUUCAGUUAUUAUUCAGACUUACACCUACAUCAGUGAUAUCAUAGCUUUACACGUGCAUUAGCAUGCUUGUGGCUGUACAAGGGCAAGAGCGACUUCACGUUCAAUAACAUCAUGGCUUUACACACAAAGUAUGUACUUUACACGGGCAACAGUGACUCCUGACUUAACAGGUACAGUCGAGACUUAACAACCUUACAUAUCCGCUUCCAUACAGUGGAGAGCUGAUUUACAG